rnacentral:rRNA from 1 species
AGAGUUUGAUCCUGGCUCAGAGCAAACGCUGGCGGCGUGUCUUAAGCMUGCMAGUCGAGCGGCAAGGGGGAGCAAUCCCCCCUAGAGCGGCGGACUGGUGAGUAACGCGUGGAUGAUCUACCUAGAGGGCAUGGGGAUAGCCAUUAGAAAUAGUGGGUAAUACCGAAUACGCUCACACAGAUAAAGCUGUGUGAGGAAAGGUGCUAUGGCGCCGGCCUGUAGAUGAGUCCGCGUCCCAUUAGUUAGUUGGUGAGGUAAAGGCCCACCAAGGCGAUGAUGGGUAGCCGGCCUGAGAGGGUGUACGGCCACACUGGGACUGAGAUACGGCCCAGACUCCUACGGGAGGCAGCAGCUAAGAAUAUUCCGCAAUGGACGGAAGUCUGACGGAGCGACGCCGCGUGGAUGACGAAGGCCGAAAGGUUGUAAAAUCCUUUUGCUGGGGAAGAAUAAGUCUGGGAGGGAAUGCCCGGAUGAUGACAUGAACCGGCGAAUGAGCCC